GAUGAACGCUGGCGGCGUGCCUAAUACAUGCAAGUCGAGCGAACAGACGAGGAGCUUGCUCCUCUGACUUUAGCGGCGGACGGGUGCGUAACUCGUGGUUAACCUACCUAUAAGACUGGGAUAACUUCGGGAAACCGGAGCUAAUACCGGAUAAUAUAUUGAACCGCAUGGUUCAAUAGUUAAAUACGCUUUUGCUGUCACUAAUAGCUGGCUCAGCGCCGCAUUAGCUAGUUGGGAAGGUAACGGCUUACCAACGCGACGAGGCGUAGCCGACCUGAAAGGGAGAACGGAUAGCUGGGCAGUGAGACUGGGUACAGACUCCUACACGGGGAAGCGGUAGGGAAUCUUACGCAAGGGGGGAAUGCCUAACGUAGCACAGCCGCGUGAGUGAUGAAGGACUACGGAUCGUAAAGCGAUGAUAUUAGGAAAGUAGAAAUGUGUAAGUACCUAGGAUCGUAUUGACAGUACCUAGACAGAAAGCCACGGCUAACUACGUG
rnacentral:rRNA from 1 species